rnacentral:SRP_RNA from 1 species
UGUGGUCUCGCCAACGUCGGCCCGUGAACUCCGCCAGGCCCGGAAGGGAGCAACGGUAGCGGUGUUCGACGUGUGGCGGGGCCUUAUUU